CCUACGGGGGGCAGCAGUGAGGAAUAUUGGUCAAUGGCCGCAGGGCUGAACCAGCCAAGUCGCGUGAGGGAUGACGGUCCUAUGGAUUGUAAACCUCUUUUGUCAGGGAGCAAAGGGCGCCACGUGUGGCGCUUUGCGAGUACCUGAAGAAAAAGCAUCGGCUAACUCCGUGCCAGCAGCCGCGGUAAUACGGAGGAUGCGAGCGUUAUCCGGAUUUAUUGGGUUAAAAGGGUGCGCAGGCGGAAUGUCAAGUCAGCGGUAAAAUUUCGGGGCACAACCCCGUCGGGCCGUUGAAACUGGCGUUCUUGAGUGAGCGAGAAGUAUGCGGAAUGCGUGGUGUAGCGGUGAAAUGCAUAGAUAUCACGCAGAACUCCGAUUGCGAAGGCAGCAUACCGGCGCUCAACUGACGCUCAUGCACGAAAGCGUGGGUAUCGAACAGGAUUAGAUACCCGGGUAGUC
rnacentral:rRNA from 1 species